CCUACGGGAGGCUGCAGUGGGGAAUAUUGCACAAUGGGCGCAAGCCUGAUGCAGCCAUGCCGCGUGUGUGAAGAAGGCCUUCGGGUUGUAAAGCACUUUCAGCGGGGAGGAAGGCGUUAAGGUUAAUAACCUUGGCGAUUGACGUUACCCGCAGAAGGAGCACCGGCUAACUCCGUGCCAGCAGCCGCGGUAAUACGGAGGGUGCAAGCGUUAAUCGGAAUUACUGGGCGUAAAGCGCACGCAGGCGGUCUGUCAAGUCGGAUGUGAAAUCCCCGGGCUCAACCUGGGAACUGCAUUCGAAACUGGCAGGCUAGAGUCUUGUAGAGGGGGGUAGAAUUCCAGGUGUAGCGGUGAAAUGCGUAGAGAUCUGGAGGAAUACCGGUGGCGAAGGCGGCCCCCUGGACAAAGACUGACGCUCAGGUGCGAAAGCGUGGGGAGCAAACAGGAUUAGAUACCCUUGUAGUC
rnacentral:rRNA from 1 species